rnacentral:rRNA from 1 species
AUUGAACGCUGGCGGCAGGCCUAACACAUGCAAGUCGAGCGAGCGGCGGGCGGGUGAGUAAUGUAUGGGGACAACCCGCUCGAGGGGGGUAACUACUGGAAACGGAGGAUAAUACCGCCUAUUCUCGCAUAAUCCACAUGGGAUUAGAUAGUAGGUAAGGUAAUGGCUUACCUAGGCGACGCUCCCUAGCUGGUCUGAGAGGAUGAUCAGCCACACUGGAACUGAGACACGGCCCAGACUCCUACGGAGGCAGCAGUGGGGAAUAUUGCACAAUGGGCGCAAGCCUGAUGCAGCCAUGCCGCGUGUAUGAAGAAGGCCCUAGGGUUGUAAAGUACUUUCAGUCGGGAGGCGUUACCGACAGAAGAAGCACCGGCUAACUCCGUGCCAGCAGCCGCGGUAAUUC